rnacentral:tRNA from 8 species
AGCCCCGUAGUGUAGUGGUCCAUCAUUUGAGACUCUGGAUCUUGAGACCCAGGUUCGAAUCCUGGCGGGGCUACCA